AGCGAGCGAGGCGGACCAGACAGACAGACAGGCGGGCGGGCAGGCAGACCGAGCCACCCGCCAGGCUGCGCUCAGCCCCGCUCAGCGGAGAGAGCAGAAGGCAGAGGAGGGAGGGGAGGAGGGAGGAGGGAGGGAGAGGGAAUCCAGCUACCACCACCCAAAGCCAGCGUCUGCUUUCUGUCCUCAUUUCCUUUUCCCACCCAGCUCGGAGAGCAGAGAAAGGCAAGAGAGAGCGAGAAAUAGAGACAGGCAGGCAGGCAGACAGACAGACAGACAGCGGGAGGGAGGAGGGCGGAGGAGGAGGAGCAGGAGGACUACGCCGGGCGCGUUCCCUCCCAGCAGCCGUGCGCCCGCGUCGCUGCCGCCGCCGGAAGACAGACGCCCCCAAAAGCCCCUCGCCUGGCUCGGACCCACGGAGCCGGCAGCCCAGCACUCCGAUGAGGAGGCGGAGGCUCAAGGAGACCGACCCAAGUCAUAACUCUGAGGACAGUGCUAUACUGGCUGAAUCCCUGUGGUUCUGUAACAAAGGAAGUUCUGUUCCUGAAAGCAUAGAGGACAGUAUGGAGCUGCAUUGUAGAAGAUAGGCACAGUGUUAAGAUGGGCGCUUGCCUAAUUGUCUACCCAUCAGCCUGGACCCCAGAGCCUGCCCGCCUGAGUGCGCGCAGAGGGCCACAGGUGAGGGGCGCCUCUCGGGCCUCUGCAGAGACUACCCUGGAGGCGCUGACAGAGACAGCCCUUUCCUGCUGAGCCUGGCCUUGCUCUACAGCCUGCUCAGGCGCUGUCCACGCCCCGAGGCCUGGGCUCAGGCCGAAGUUGCUCUGCAGGCCCCCCCAGCUGACAGCCAGCGAUUGGCAGAGCCCCCAGACACGGGGGCCCUCUCUCUCCCAGAGAUCUCCAGUGUGACAGCCCAGGCGGCAGAGCCGAGGGUCCUGGUCCCGGCUUCUCGCACCCUCAUGUCAGCCCCGGCCCCGCCCGGCGGCCCGCGGAGGACAAGGUCAGGAUGCGUGUGAAGCCCCAGGGCCUGGUGGUGACUUCCAGUGCCGUGUGCAGCUCUCCUGACUACCUCCGGGAGCCCAAGUACUACCCCGGCGGCCCCCCCGCCCCCCGCCCCUUGCUUCCCACCCGGCCCCCUGCCAGUCCACCUGACAAGGCCUUCUCCACCCACACCUUCUCGGAGAACCCACGCCCACCCCCACGCCGGGACCCUAGCACCCGACGCCCUCCAGUCCUUCCCAAAGGGGACGACCCGCUGCCCCCAAGGGCUGCCCGGCCCAUCUCCCAGGCCCGCUGCCCUAUAUCAGCCGGAGACCGCAGCAGUUCCCGCCGCCGCUGGGACAACGGACGGGUGAACCUGCGUCCAGUGGUGCAGCUGAUUGACAUCAUGAAGGACCUGACACGCCUCUCCCAGGACCUGCAGCACAGUGGGGUGCAUCUGGACUGUGGUGGGCUGCGGUUGAGCCGCCCCCCUGCCCCACCGCCUGGUGACCUGCAGUACAGCUUCUUCUCCUCACCCAGCCUGGCCAACAGCAUCCGCAGCCCGGAGGAGCGCACCACCCCUCAUGCCAAGUCAGAGCGACCCAGCCACCCCCUCUACGAGCCUGAGCCUGAGCCUAGGGACAGUCCCCAGCCUGGCCAAGGCCAUAGUCCUGGCGCCACAGCAGCAGCUACCGGCUUGCCCCCAGAGCCUGAGCCAGAUGGCCCUGAUUACUCAGAACUCGCCGAAGCUGACAUCCUCAGUGAGCUAGCCUCCCUGACUUGCCCUGAGGCCCAGCUGCUAGAGGCCCAGGCCCUGGAGCCACCAUCGCCUGAGCCAGAGCCUCAGCUCCUGGACCCCCAGCCCCGCUUUCUGGACCCACAGGCACUAGAGCCACUCGGGGAAGCUUUGGAGUUGCCUCCCUUGCAACCUCUUGCCGACCCUUUAGGGUUGCCAAGCCUGGCACUACAGGCCCUAGAUACCUUGCCUGACUCCCUGGAGUCACAGCUACUUGACCCCCAGGCACUUGACCCGCUACCCAAGUUGCUGGAUGUCCCAGGUCGCCGACUGGAGCCCCAACAGCCCCUUGGUCACUGUCCAUUGGCUGAACCCUUGCGCCUGGACUUGUGCUCACCCCAUGGCCCCCCUGGGCCUGAGGGCCACCCCAAGUAUGCCUUGCGGCGCACUGAUAGGCCAAAGAUCCUGUGUCGCCGGAGGAAAGCUGGUCGGGGACGUAAGGCAGACGCUGGACCUGAGGGCCGCCUGCUACCUUUGCCUAUGCCCACAGGGCUGGCAGCUGUCCUGGCUGAGCCACCGCCACCGCCACCUCCACCACCACCUGCCCUGCCAGGCCCAGUCCCAGAACUGGAACCAGAAUGUUCCCAGACUCCAGUUGUCCCUGCCCGCAAAGGCAAGUGCCGGGGUGUAAGGCGCAUGGUGGUGAAGAUGGCUAAGAUCCCUGUAUCACUGGGGCGGCGGAAUAAGACCACAUACAAAGUGUCAUCUCUGAGCAGCAGCCUGAGCGUGGAGGGUAAGGAGCUAGGCCUACGAGUAUCAGCAGAACCCACCCCACUGCUGAAGAUGAAGAACAAUGGGCGAAACGUGGUAGUGGUCUUCCCACCAGGUGAGAUGCCAAUUAUUCUCAAGCGUAAGCGUGGCCGCCCUCCUAAGAACUUACUGCUGGGUCCUGGCAAGCCCAAGGAGCCAGCAGUGGUGGCGACUGAGGCUGCUACUGUGACAGCAGCCACCAUGGCCAUCCCAGAGGUAAAGAAACGACGGCGACGGAAGCAGAAGCUGGCAUCUCCCCAGCCAUCGUAUGCAGCAGAUGCCAAUGACAGUAAGGCUGAGUACUCAGAUGUCCUCGCCAAACUGGCCUUCCUGAACCGCCAGAGCCAGUGUGCUGGGCGGUGCUCACCACCCCGCUGCUGGACACCCAGUGAGCCUGAGUCAGUACACCAGGCCCCUGACACCCAGAGCAUCUCCCACUUCCUACACCGCGUGCAGGGCUUCCGGCGGCGUGGGGGCAAGACAGGUGGUUUUGGUGGCCGAGGUGGGGGCCAUGCAGCCAAGGCAGCCAGAUGCUCCUUCAGUGACUUCUUUGAGGGGAUUGGCAAGAAAAAAAAGGUGGUGGCAGUGGCAGCUGCUGGGGUUGGAGGUCCCGGCCUCACUGAGUUAGGACACCCACGCAAACGGGGUCGGGGGGAGGUGGACGUGUUGACGGGGAAGCCCAAGCGGAAGAGGCGGUCCCGAAAAAAUGGAACUCUGUUUCCAGAGCAGGUACCCAGUGGCCCAGGCUUUGGAGAGGCUGGUGCCGAGUGGGCUGGGGACAAAGGUGGUGGCUGGGCCCCUCACCAUGGGCACCCAGGUGGGCAAGCUGGCCGAAACUGUGGUUUCCAGGGGACUGAGGCCCGGGCCUUUGCCUCCACUGGGCUGGAGAGUGGGACUUCAGGCCGUGGCAGCUAUUAUAGCACGGGCACCCCCUCAGGCCAGACUGAGCUCAGCCAAGAGCGCCAAAACCUCUUCACUGGCUAUUUUCGCUCACUGCUUGAUUCGGAUGACUCCUCCGAUCUCUUGGACUUUGCCCUCUCAGCCUCUCGCCCAGAGUCCCGGAAGGCAUCAGGCACCUACACAGGGCCACCCACCAGUGCCCUAUCUGCCCAGCGAGGCCUGGCUACCUUCCCCAGCCGGGGAGCCAAGGCCAGCCCAGUGGCAGUGGGCAGCAGUGGGGCAGGGGCAGACCCUCCCUUCCAGCCUGUCUUGCCCACUCGCCAGACCUUCCCACCAGGGCGGGCAGCAAGCUAUGGGAUAACCCCAGCUACUUCAGACUGCCGGGCAGCUGAGACCUUCCCAAAGCUGGCUCCCCCACCUUCAGCUGUGGCCCGAUCUCCAACUACCCACCCACCCACCAACACCUACCCACCCCAGUACGGUGGAUAUGGGGCUGGACAAAGUGUAUUUGCCCCAGCAAAGCCCUUUACAGGCCAGGACUGUGCUAACAGCAAGGACUGCAGCUUUGCCUAUGGCAGCGGCAACAGCCUUCCUGCCUCACCCAGCAGCGCCCACAGUGCUGGCUAUGCCCCACCACCUACUGGAGGUCCCUGCUUGCCACCAAGCAAGGCGUCCUUCUUCAGCAGCUCUGAGGGGGCCCCUUUCUCUGGUUCAGCUCCCACACCCCUACGCUGUGACAGCCGGGCCAGCACUGUCUCUCCUGGCGGCUACAUGGUGCCCAAGGGCACCACAGCUUCUGCCACCUCCGCAGCCUCUGUCGCUUCCUCCUCCUCCUCCUCCUUUCAGCCCUCACCUGAGAACUGUCGGCAGUUUGCGGGGGCUUCUCAGUGGCCUUUCCGGCAGGGCUAUGGAGGCCUGGACUGGGCCUCAGAGGCCUUUAGUCAGCUCUAUAACCCCAGUUUUGACUGCCAUGUCAGCGAGCCCAAUGUGAUUCUGGACAUCUCCAACUACACCCCACAGAAGGUGAAGCAGCAGACAGCUGUGUCCGAGACCUUCUCUGAGUCAUCCUCCGACAGCACCCAAUUCAAUCAACCAGUCGGUGGUGGCGGUUUUCGUCGUGCCAACAGUGAGGCCUCGAGCAGUGAGGGCCAAUCAAGCCUGUCCAGCCUAGAGAAACUGAUGAUGGACUGGAACGAAGCAUCAUCUGCCCCCGGCUACAACUGGAACCAGAGUGUCCUCUUCCAGAGUAGUUCCAAGCCUGGCCGUGGACGGCGGAAGAAGGUGGACCUGUUUGAGGCCUCACACCUAGGCUUCUCAACAUCCGCCUCUGCUGCUGCCUCAGGCUACCCAUCCAAGCGGAGCACCGGGCCCCGGCAGCCACGGGGUGGUCGAGGCGGUGGGGCAUGCUCAGCCAAGAAGGAGCGAGGUGGUGCAGCAGCCAAAGCCAAGUUUAUCCCUAAGCCACAGCCGGUCAACCCACUGUUCCAGGACAGCCCAGACCUCGGCCUGGACUACUACAGUGGGGAUAGCAGUAUGUCACCACUGCCCUCUCAGUCAAGGGCCUUCAGUGUGGGAGAGCGAGACCCCUGUGACUUCAUGGGACCCUACUCUAUGAAUCCAUCCACGCCUUCUGAUGGUACCUUCGGCCAAGGCUUUCACUGCGACUCACCCAGCCUGGGUGCACCUGACCUGGAUGGCAAGCAUUUCCCGCCUCUGGCCCACCCACCCACCGUGUUUGAUGCUGGCCUGCAGAAGGCGUACUCACCCACGUGCUCACCCACGCUAGGCUUCAAGGAAGAGCUACGGCCACCGCCCACAAAGCUAGCUGCUUGUGAGCCCCUCAAGCAUGGGCUCCAGGGUGCCAGCCUGGGCCAUGUGGCUGCAGCCCAGGCCCACCUGAGCUGCCGGGACCUGCCACUGGGCCAGCCCCACUACGAUUCCCCCAGUUGUAAGGGCACAGCCUAUUGGUAUCCACCAGGCUCAGCUGCCCGUAGCCCACCUUACGAAGGCAAGGUGGGCACAGGGCUGCUGGCUGACUUCCUGGGCAGGACGGAGGCCACGUGCCUCAGUGCCCCACACUUGGCCAGCCCACCAGCCACACCCAAGGCUGACAAGGAGCCACUAGAGAUGGCACGGCCACCCGGUCCACCGCGUGGCCCUGCUGCAGCCGCUGCUGGCUAUGGCUGCCCACUCCUUAGUGACUUGACCCUGUCCCCUGUGCCGAGGGACUCGCUGCUGCCCCUGCAGGAUACCGCGUACAGGUAUCCAGGCUUUAUGCCGCAGGCGCAUCCUGGCCUGGGUGGGGGCCCUAAGAGCAGCUUCCUGGGGCCCAUGGCGGAACCUCAUCCUGAGGACACAUUCACCGUCACCUCCCUGUAGUGCCAACUGAAGUGCCGACUGGACCGCAAGGUUUUAUUCCUGGCCUGGGGACUUUUGCCAUGCAGCUGCACCAUUCCACCCUGCAUCCUCGUUCCUCAGCAAUGAAGGAUCAGAUUGGACGAGCCCUUCUUUUCAGGCCUGGAACUGAAGCCAAGAGAAAUGUCACAGGUCCUCCAAGGUUACACCAGCUGGGGCCUGACUGGAGCAGGAGGCAGUUUCCAAGGCCACCAUCCAGCUGGGGUCAGCAGGCAUGUCCAGGCCCGGCUGCUCUGGGCUUUGUGUCUCUGUCUUGAAACCUUGAAAGGUCACUUGAUCUUGCCCCUGGCUCUGAGCAAGAGGCCUCCAGUCAGGGCUCAACCAGUCCUGCCAUGCCUGUUACGGGCUCUGGCUCUUCCCCCUUCUAUGAACCUAUCCUCCCUCCAAUCCUGUCUCUUACCACUCCUGCAGCCACGUUUAGGCUGGGCCUUCUGUGCUGAGGCUCCAUUCCCUGGAAAUGCCAUCUCUCUGUGAACACGCCCUCUCGCACUC